rnacentral:rRNA from 1 species
AUUGAACGCUGGCGGAAUGCUUUACACAUGCAAGUCGAACGGCAGCACGGGGGCAACCCUGGUGGCGAGUGGCGAACGGGUGAGUAAUGCAUCGGAACGUACCCAAUCGUGGGGGAUAACUGGCCGAAAGGUCAGCUAAUACCGCAUACGUCCUGAGGGAGAAAGCAGGGGAUCGCAAGACCUUGCGCGAUUGGAGCGGCCGAUGUCUGAUUAGCUAGUUGGUGGGGUAAGAGCUCACCAAGGCGAUGAUAGAUAGGCGGCCUUAACGGGUGGUCGCCCACACUGGGAUUGAGAUACGGCCCAGACUCCUACGGGAGGCAGCAGUCGAGAAUAGUCUACAAUGGCCGGAAGGCUGAUAGUGCGACGCCGCGUGAACGAGGGAGCCCUUCGGGUGUAAAGUUCUUUCUAUACGAGCAGUGCUAUAUAUAUGGAUAGUAUAUAUAGAGGGAUAGUAGUAUAGGAAUAAGACAACGGCUAACUCCGUGCC